UGAACCUGCGGAAGGAUCAUUAACGCGCAAGAGGUCGAAGUUGGCCCCCGAAGCUCUUCCGUCUCCCCCCCGGGCCUCC
rnacentral:rRNA from 1 species